UACGUAGGGGGCAAGCGUUGUCCGGAUUUAUUGGGCGUAAAGAGCGCGUAGGCGGAAGGUGAAGCGUGGCCUGAAAGCCCCCGGCUCAACCGGGGAAGGCGGCUGCGAACUGGCCUUCUUGAGGGCGAUAGAGGGGGGCGGAAUUCCUGGUGUAGCGGUGAAAUGCGUAGAGAUCAGGAGGAACACCCGUGGCGAAGGCGGCCCCCUGGGUCGGCCCUGACGCUGAGGCGCGAAAGCUAGGGGAGCAAACAGG
rnacentral:rRNA from 1 species